UUUUCAAGUUUUUACUAUAAAUAUAUAUUAACUUUAUAAUCAGGAAAAAGUCAAUAAACAUUAUAUAAAGCUGUUUGUAAUGUGAUUACUAUGGGGACAAAUUACAUGUUUGUAGUCCAGUCCCCUCCUAUUAGGGAGGAGUGGAGCAGACCUUGUGUUGCUGUGGCCGCUGCCCAGGCAGUGGUCAAGUUGGCCAGUGGGCGUAGUGGCAUCCAGGCAAACUUCUGCUCGGUGCUAAUGAUGUUUUCUGAUUUCUCAGUAAACAGUACUCAUCCUGGACCUGGGAAGAAACUCAAGAAGAAGAUUUUGAAACUUAAAGAUUAGAUGGGGCUUGACCUGUACUGGGCAGCCCCCAGCUAUAGAAGCUCCCCUGCUGAGGAGAGAAGAUGACUGCAGAAUUGGGAGAGGCCAUGGCCCUGGCCCCUUGGGGCCUAGUGACAGUGAAAAAGGAGGAGGAAGAAGAGGAAAACUUCCUAGGUCAGGCAUCCAGCCAACAAGUGCGCUCUGAGAACGUCAAAGUCUGGGCCCCUGGGGAGGGUCCUCAGACAGGCCUUGAUGUAUCAGAACAGGAGGGAAAGGGUCAGAACAUGUUCUGGGACAUGGCUGUAGUCGUGAAAGCAAUGCAGGAGGCACCUGCUGCUUCAACCCUUGGCAGCUACUCAUCACCAGGGGCUCUGGCCGAGAGCGAGAUCCUGGAGACUCAAGGGAACAUAACCUAUCUAGGUGCUGAAACCAAGAAGCCACAGUUACUGGUUCCAAAAACUGAGAUAUGUGAUGAAGCAGAAAAACCCUUCAUAAUAUCAGAAAGAAUCCAGAAACUUGACCCUCAAGGACCUGAGUUAGGAGAAGCCUGUGAAAAAGGGAACAUGUUAAAGAGGCAGAGAAUCAAGAGGGAGAAGAAAGAUUUCAGACAAGUGACAGUGAAGGACUGUCACAUACCUGAAAGCUUCAAAGAAGAGGAAGACCAGAAAUGUCAGAAAUCUGGGGAAAGAUACAGCCUUAGUUCUGGCACUGUUAAAAAUCAGAAAAGCCAGCCUGGGCAGAAACCUUUUACAUGUAGCGUGUGUGGGAAGGGCUUUAGUCAGAGUGCAAACCUUGUAGUGCAUCAGCGAAUCCACACUGGGGAGAAACCCUUCGAAUGUCAUGAGUGUGGGAAGGCCUUCAUUCAGAGUGCAAACCUUGUUGUGCAUCAGCGAAUCCACACUGGACAGAAACCGUACGUUUGUGCAAAAUGUGGGAAAGCCUUCACUCAGAGUUCAAAUCUGACUGUACAUCAAAAGAUCCACUCCUUAGAAAAAAUCUUUAAGUGCAGUGAAUGUGAGAAAGCCUUCAGUUAUAGCUCACAACUUGCUCGGCACCAGAAAGUCCACAUUACAGAAAAAUGCUAUGAAUGUAAUGAGUGUGGGAAAACAUUUACUCGGAGCUCAAACCUCAUUGUCCACCAGAGGAUCCACACUGGUGAAAAGCCCUUUGCCUGUAAUGAUUGUGGCAAAGCCUUCACCCAGAGUGCAAAUCUUAUUGUGCAUCAGCGAAGCCAUACUGGUGAGAAGCCAUAUGAGUGUAAAGAGUGUGGAAAAGCCUUUAGUUGUUUUUCUCACCUUAUUGUGCACCAGAGAAUUCACACUGCAGAGAAACCUUAUGACUGCAGCGAGUGUGGAAAAGCCUUCAGUCAGCUCUCUUGCCUUAUUGUGCACCAGAGGAUUCACAGUGGGGAUCUUCCUUACGUGUGUAAUGAGUGUGGGAAGGCUUUCACGUGCAGCUCGUACCUGCUUAUUCAUCAGAGAAUUCAUAAUGGGGAAAAACCGUACGCAUGCAAUGAGUGUGGCAAGGCCUUCAGGCAGAGGUCGAGCCUCACCGUGCACCAGAGAACCCACACUGGGGAAAAGCCCUACGAAUGUGAGAAGUGUGGUGCGGCUUUCAUUUCUAACUCGCACCUCAUGCGGCAUCACAGAACCCAUCUUGUUGAGUAACAAGUAAAGGAAGAGGAAGACCUCCAGGCAUUGAUCAUAACCUAUUACCCCCAAGUGGGACACUUCUUUGCUGUUUUCUUCCUCCUUUAUAAAAAUGAGGCCUGCUGGGUCUUUAAAAGUAACAGUUUUCGGGAGUGCAUUACGAAACACAAGCAUUUCAGAGGCUAAUUUAAAGAAAAUGAAAACUUAAGUACCUAAAGGCAAGGACUUUGUUUUUAGCUGUUCCCUAAGUAGUCAUGUUGUCUGAAAUGGAAUGUGGCUUUCUUAGAAAUGGAUCAUACAAAGCUAAGUGAUAAAGAUCCCAUUUGAGGAAAGGUAUUUUUUACUUAAUUUUGUUGUUAAAACUCUGGUAAUUUCUUGAGCACCAAGCAGGUUACUGGUAUAGGUCAGCCUGGUGGAAUUUUGGAGGUUUGAACCUUGUAUUCUGGUAUUUUGGGCUAAGCAGUGACUAGUUAAGGAAACCACUUGGGGUGGCAAUUCACCAACAAUACACGGAUGAACAUUUAUAAGCUUUCCAUUGCCUAGAUAAUUGAAAAAAAAACAUCAAAAAAACCUGUUAACCAUCUCCUGCUCCUAAAAUGGACAGAAGUAGGAAACAGCCGCUUCCCUCAUGUCUAUACCUCAUGAAUCUUGAUAUGGUAAAGCUCUGGGGACCUCUGAUGAGUCUCCUCUGACCGUUCCCCACUCUGCAUGGCCAAGCACUUGAGGACUGAUGGAGACAACACACUGGGGCCACAAAUGCUGCUGGGCUAUAUUCAUUUACUAAGAUCAACAAGUCUCCAAAUAACCCCCAAUUUCCAUUGCAUUCCAUUUGAGUGAGAUGCUACUAACAGCCCCCUUCCCAGACAGAGGAGUCAAAGAAUAAAGCUUGCCUAGAGGCAUGCCCAUGUUGUCUCUGCUCUCAUUCUGCUCAGGCCCAGCCAGGGGGUCUGUUUGGGUGUCAUUCUCACUUUCUGGAUGCUCUUUAGAAGAAAUAAUGGAGCCCUUCUAAUUCUGAGAGGACCAAAGAGGGAAAUGAAGGGACGGGGGGAGGCACAGUGGGAUUCCUAAGGUCUUAAUUUGUUUUUUAGAAAAGUUCAAAGGUAUUGGAAUAUGAAAACUUAGAAGGAUGAAGAAAAUGGCUAAGGUCUGAGUUUCCACAAACCUGCACCCAGGUUUAGGACCCCCAGUCCUGCACAAAUCAUGUGAGCCUGGUGGAUUACUAGACAGAUGAUAUCCUUCCCCAACUAAUAACAGCUCUUCGUCCCAGUCCAAUUCCUGCCCUCAAAAAAAAUUACAACCCUCCUUUUUCUUCAUGGUUUUGGAUAGGGGAGGAGUGACUACCCCUUGUCAAAGUUGGCCUUGGUUUUCCUUUUCCUUGGGGUCAUCUCCCUUCUCCCUUGGCUGGUCUUGCUAGAAGUGGAUGGGAACUUUGAAGCCCCAUUUUGUUAAGUUGCCAAGAGCUGUCAGACUUUUGGCUAUCAAAGAGCCAGGCCUAAUGAUGGGCAUUAAGGGUAGAGCCAAGUCCUUACCCUCAAAUGAGACCAACAGAUUUGUAUUAAGUGGAGCACAGUGAUGCAAAAAUAAUGAAAUCAUGUACGUGCUUUGGGAGUAUGGGGGAGAGAUUCUUCAUCCACAUACACAGUAUGGGGGAGAGAGUCUACAUCAACACACAGACACCCUCUCAAACCCAAUAGGCCAUGAAUUCCUCCAGGCUCAGGAAGAGGUGUCUUUGAGCGAAGCUAAUCCUCUCUCUAUGCUCUGAGUCCCCUCCCUCCCUUGCUUAGGCAGUUGUCCAUCUCCCACAUCUGUUGCUUCUUCACUUGCUCCUCCAUCCAAUGUGCCUAACCUUUCUGGGGUCACAGCCCCUUUGAGAAUCUGAUAAAGGUUGUGGAUCCUCUCCUGAAGAAAUGCAGAUUGCUCAUUCAGUUUUGUGCUCAUUUGUGGGGGGCAUACAGGCUCCUUGAAGCCAAUCCAUGGAUGUUCUAGGGCCUAAAUUCUCACCUGGGGAUGCACUACAGAAUCACCAGUGACAUUUUUAAAAAAUGAAAUCAGACUACAGACUCUAAGGAUGUUGCCUAGACACAUACCUUUUUAAAUCUUGCUUCUCCUGGAUUCCCUCCCUCAGCAAAUGGUAUCACUCCCACCACCUGGAGCACCCAGACUGGAAACCCAGGAGAUGUUUCUGGCUUUCUAUGUAUCAUUUGUUCAUUACAAAAAUUUAGGCACUCUGUGGCAAACAUGCCACUAGAUGGGGUGCCAAGGCAAACAAGGUCUACCAGACCCUCAUCUCAUGUCUCUUAUGGGGAAAAUGUCUGGAUCCCUUAACAUGAUUUACUGAAUUUCAUAAUCUUUCCAAUCUCUUCACUUCCUAUGCACCUUUUACUGCAGCCUAGAGGCAGGUACUUGCUUUUCUCCGUGCCUUUGCUCACACCAUUCUUGGAGCCUGUGAUACCCCACCAUCACUCCCCACCAGCCCCUGUCUGCUUUGCUUAACCUUAGGUUCCUUUGAAGAUAUGGUUUAUGUCCUGUCUCUGGGAAACCUCUGACUGCUCUAGGGCCAAGGGCAUAUUUAGAAGUAUAUUUAGAAGUAUAGAAUAGCAUGAUAGGAUAUGUAUCCAGAGUUUUACUUGAUGCUUUAAAGUGAAGAAGAUCUGGAUUCAAAAUUGCAUAUAUAGUACCAUUUUCACAUAAUAUUGUUACAUAUACUAUAUACUAUUAAAAAGUAUAUAGAUAAAUUACCUGAAGGAAAUAUAGGAAAAUGUUUUAAGUGGUUGAGUGACUCAUUCACAGCCAUGCGGAUGGUAAGUUGCAGAGCUUAGGCUCAAACCCAGGUCCUAUUGAUAAUAGCAUUAUGGGUAAUUA